GGAGGAAAGCAGGGGAUCGUAAGACCUUGCGCUUUUGGAGCGGCCGAUGCCUGAUUAGCUAGUUGGUGGGGUAAUGGCCUACCAAAGCUUCGAUCAGUAGCUGGUCUGAGAGGACGGCCAGCCACACUGGGACUGAGACACGGCCCAGACUCCUACGGGAGGCAGCAGUGGGGAAUUUUGGACAAUGGGCGCAAGCCUGAUCCAGCCAUGCCGCGUGAGUGAAGAAGGCCUUCGGGUUGUAAAGCUCUUUCAGUCGAGAAGAAAAGGCUGUGGUAAAUAAUCGCAGCUCAUGACGGUAUCGACAGAAGAAGCACCGGCUAACUACGUGCCAGCAGCCGCGGUAAUACGUAGGGUGUAAGCGUUAAUCGGAAUUACUGGGCGUAAAGGGUGCGCAGGCGGUUUUGUAAGUCAGAUGUGAAAUCCCCGGGCUUAACCUGGGAAUUGCGUUUGAAACUACAAAGCUAG
rnacentral:rRNA from 1 species